rnacentral:misc_RNA from 1 species
AACAAGGCGUACCUGCGGACCUGCGGAAGGAUCAUUACCAGAGAGCCUUUUGGCACUCCAACCCAUUGUGAACAUACCUAUCGUUCCCUCGGCGGGCUCAGCGCGCGGGGCCUCCGGGCUUCCGGGCGUCCGCCGGGGACAACCAAACCCUGAUUUACUACGUGUAUCUCUGAGGGGCGAAAGCCCGAAAACAAAAUAAAUCAAAACUUUCAACAACGGAUCUCAGAUCGGAAGAGCACA